GUUUUAACUGCCUUUGAAGUUCUGUUUAAAAGUCUCUUCUUUUGAGCAAAAAGCAUUAUUUGCUAAUAAUUCUGUAGGUUAGUGUCAUUCCGUAAUUUCCAUUCCCUUCGGAAGGGAAACCUCUGUGUUCUGCUUCAAGGUAGCAGUCAUCCAUAAAACUGUUUGGCUUUCUUAGCGUAAGAUAUACUCUUUCACCCAUGGUAACAUUGAGAUGCAUUCUGUCAUUUCAUUCUUGAGGACCUUUCCCUCAUCUCUGUUGACAAACUUUUCCAGAAGGCAACAUUAAAAAAAAGAAAGGGACAAAAGAAUAAAAAGAACAAAACCCCCUUACACAUUUCUUGCGUUCAUUUACCCCCACUUAUGUCUCCCCCUACUCCUGUAGAUGAAGCAGGAUUAUAGAAGAUCAUUUGUGUAGCUCCUUCUCUGUCCCUAAAAUGUUAUUGUUCUUUAAAUUCAGGGAUUUCUUAAGUUUGUGCCAAGGAUCUCCACACAACAGCUUUGCAGUCCUGCAGUCCCAAGGGACAGAGAGGAAGUACAGCAUCAGAAGUCAGCUGGAGCACCAGCACAGGAACCUCAUGUAUCUGGAGCUCUUUCAGAGACCUCUCAUAGGAAAUGCACACUUACAUUCUCCUUCUGACAUACUGCCUUAUUGUCCUUGAGGGCUCUGGUAAAGAAUUUGUGAAGUAAGGUCAUCCUGUGAGAAACCGUGUCCUACACCAUGUAAAAUAAUACAAGGUAGAUAAGAUUUAUCAGGUAUAAGGUGCUUUAAAACUUCUAUGGGUGGAUCAUGUUUUCUCUUGUAUGGGAUUUUGGAAAUGUUUCUCACUUCCAGUGGGAAGCACAGUCUUGUACUAAGCCUGCUGUGCUAUAUAAUUUACUGCUAUAUAUGUAUAUAAUUAACUGAAGUUCCUUGCAAAAAUACUUAUCUUUACCAGUUGUACUAAUGUCCAUAAAAUAAACAUAUGCCCUUGUAUAUCUUGUUUUCUACA
rnacentral:lncRNA from 1 species